rnacentral:misc_RNA from 1 species
AAAGACCGAACAUUUGUUCAUCCACUAGCACACAAUCUUCGGUCUUUGCUCCGUCGUUACCCAGCACGCCCUUUCAUAUCUCUCCCUGCCUCCCUAUUUCUCUCUCUAAAGCGUAGACUCUAAACCCUAGUUUACCUAGUCUUUCCUUCUCUUUUUUUCUCUGAAAUCUCCUAAAAGCCUGUAAAGCGCCAUGAAAGUGGCAGAAGACGAUCCUAUCAAUGUCUCAAAUCAGCUUCUACAGUCUCUUUUAGACGAAAUCAUUCAAGUACAGACCUUUAAAGGCAAAUGGGCUCUAAUCAGAGCCAAGCUCUCCGAUCUCCAUUCUCAACUCGCCGAUUUCGCAGACUUCCCGGCUUCCACCUGCAACCCGCUAUGUCUUGACCUACUUCACUCCAUUUCCCAUUCUUUAAACGAUGCCGUAAUUUUGGCUAGAAAAUGUCAGACGCCUAAUUUCACAGAAGGUAAGCUCCGGACUCAGAGCAAUGUCGAUUCCGUUUUGGCCAAGUUGGAUCGGCAUGUCAAGGACAGCGAGAUUUUGAUUAAAAGUGGGGUUCUUCAAGGCAGUGUCGUUUCAGGGGGUUCUUCUUCGAAGAGGGAGGCAGUGCGGGCCGAGUCGAGGAACUUAAUAACCCGCUUGCAGAUUGGUAGCAAUGAGGGGAAGAAUUCGGCCAUGGACUCCCUUCUCGUGUUGCUUCAAGAGGAUGAUAAGAAUGUAAUGAUUGCAGUGGCACAGGGUGUUGUUCCCGUGCUUGUUCGUUUACUGGAUUCGAGCUCCCUGGAGAUGAAAGAGAAGACUGUAGCAGCAAUUUCGAGGGUUUCGAUGGUGGAUAGUAGCAAGCAUGUUUUAAUUGCGGAGGGUCUAUUGCUUUUGAAUCAUUUGCUUCGGGUUCUAGAAUCGGGAAGUGGGUUUGCGAAGGAAAAAGCAUGCGUUGCACUUCAAGCUUUAAGCUUUUCGAAGGAGAACGCUAGGGCAAUUGGGUCUAGAGGCGGAAUUUCUUCGCUAUUAGAAAUUUGCCAGGCGGGCACGCCGGGUUCACAGGCUUUUGCGGCUGGUGUUUUGAGAAAUCUCGCCGUAUUUGAAGAAAUUGGGGAGAAUUUUAUAGAAGAGAAUGCGGUUUUAGUUCUUGUUGGGCUUGCAGCUUCCGGGACUGCGUUGGCCCAAGAGAACGCAAUCGGGUGUUUAUGUAAUUUGGUGAAAGGCGAUGAGAAUUUGAAGCUUGUGAUUGUGAAGGAAGGGGGCAUCGAGUGCUUGAGAAACUUCUGGGAUUCAGCUCCUCCUGUAAGAAGUCUUGAAGUUGCUGUUGAUUUAUUGAGGCACCUGGCUUCGAGCCAAGUUAUUGCAGAAAAGCUUGUUUCUGAUUUAUUUAUUGUCAGGCUUGUGGAAGUGUUGAAUUGUGGAGUUUUGGCUGUGAGAAUUGCAGCUGCAAUGGCUGUCUACGAACUUGGUUUCAACACCAAGACAAGAAAGGAAAUGGGUGAAUGUGGAGUAAUUAUUCCAUUGAUUGAGAUGUUAGAUGGUAAAGCUGUCGAAGAUAGAGAAGCGGCAGGAAAGGCAUUGUCACGUCUUGUAUUAUAUGCAGGAAACAAAAGGAUUUUUAGAAAAGAUGAAAGGGGGAUAGUGAGUACAGUUCAGCUAUUAGAUCCUUUGAUACAGAAUUUGGACAAGAAAUACCCUGUUUCAAUAUUGGCCUCGGUUGUGCAUUCUAAAAAGUGUAGAAAACAAAUAAUCGCUGCUGGUGCCUGUGUACAUUUGAAGAAACUUGUUGAGAUGAAUAUAGACGGAGCAAAGAAGCUUUUGGACGGUCUCGGCCGUCGUAAGUUUUGGGGCGUCUUUGCCAGGCCAUAGCAGCCAUAGAAGUCUUGAAUUGCUGCAUCAAAGAAACAUGGAUUCGAAGAUUAUUGGUUCAUCUGUAUGUACAUUAUCUGUGUUCAAUUUUACUUGAUUUUUAUUCUCUCUUUUUUGCUCAUACAAUUGUCAAGUUGCUGUAGGAGUAAACAUCGGUAGCUUAACUGCCGUUGGAGAAACUCUUGUAGAGCCGAAAUCUUGUUUUGUUGACCUAACUAGAUUGGAGUCCAUGUCCAUUAUCGUAAAUUCAAUAAUUGAUUGUACUGUAUUGUGUCUAAGACAGCACUUCUGCUUUAUCUAUUACUGACUCUUAUGGUUACCAAAUUCUCUGUUAAAAUUAAGGCAUAGCACUAUCAACUCUGUAGGUAGGUCUCCUUUGCCCUUUUUGAGUUGUUUGAAAAAUGAAUGUGUCGGCUGCUUAAUGGAAAAUUAGUGUUUUGUUG